rnacentral:rRNA from 2 species
AGACCCGAAACCCGGUGAUCUAGCCAUGGGCAGGUUGAAGGUUGGGUAACACUAACUGGAGGACCGAACCGACUAAUGUUGAAAAAUUAGCGGAUGACCUGUGGCUGGGGGUGAAAGGCCAAUCAAACCGGGAGAUAGCUGGUUCUCCCCGAAAGCUAUUUAGGUAGCGCCUCGUGAAUUCAUCUCCGGGGGUAGAGCACUGUUUCGGCUAGGGGGCCAUCCCGGCUUACCAACCCGAUGCAAACUGCGAAUACCGGAGAAUGUUAUCACGGGAGACACACGGCGGGUGCUAACGUCCGUCGUGAAGAGGGAAACAACCCAGACCGCCAGCUAAGGUCCCAAAGUCAUGGUUAAGUGGGAAACGAUGUGGGAAGGCCCAGACAGCCAGGAUGUUGGCUUAGAAGCAGCCAUCAUUUAAAGAAAGCGUAAUAGCUCACUGGUCGAGUCGGCCUGCGCGGAAGAUGUAACGGGGCUAAACCAUGCACCGAAGCUGCGGCAGCGAACGUAUCACCCAAGACAACUUUACGGAGUUGACGAUUGACGGAGCGAAGCGACGUCAAAGCGUUCAUUAAAGUCGAGUUGGCUUAGGGAUACGUUCGUUGGGUAGGGGAGCGUUCUGUAAGCCUGUGAAGGUGUGUCGUGAGGCAUGCUGGAGGU